CACAACCAAACGAAUACAGAUACUAAAAAGGAAAGUUCACAAAGAUUAUGAAGUUUACUGUAACAGACUGAGCAGUGAGCACUGCUGCAAACACAUGCUCAACACUCUGAGAGCAAGUGGGAGGAAUACAGAGGCAAGCUGAAGAGACAGAAGGGAGAAAGACAAGCGUUAAGGCUACCACCUUGGCUGAAAACAUGGAUCACUGAACCUACACGCAGUCUGUGAGGAGGCCUGGUGUCCCAAUAUUUUGGCAGGGAGAGUAUGCCACUGCCACAGAAACCAUCAUGCUGAUGGAGGACACAUGCGCACGUGGAUGUAGGUUUUGUUCAGUUAAAACAGUGAGACGUCCUCCACCCAGCUAAAGCCACUGCAGCUUGGGGUCUGGACUAUGUUAUACUCACAUCAGUGGACAGGGAUGGUGAGAAAACAUGAAACACCAGCAACUAAGACAUAUUAAAGGGCUCAUCCAUUUACAUUAUAGCCAUGAGUUUACCUGUUAUAAUAAUUUUGUGAGGUGAGAUUUAGUAGAAUAAACAUGGACUAAGAAGCACAAAACUUUCAUUUUGGAUUUUAUUGUGUCUUUAAAAUGUACCAUUGAACUUUAUUUUUGA